UACGGAGGAUCCAAGCGUUAUCCGGAUUCAUUGGGUUUAAAGGGUGCGUAGGCGGAAUGAUAAGUCAGUGGUGAAAAUCCUUCAGCUUAACUGGAGAACUGCCAUUGAUACUGUCAAUCUUGAGUACAUUUGAUGUGGGCGGAAUGUGUCAUGUAGCGGUGAAAAUGCUUUAGAUAUGACACAGAACACCGAUUGCGAAGGCAGCUCACAAAAACUGUAACUGACGCUGAGGCACGAAAGCGUGGGUAGUCAAA
rnacentral:rRNA from 1 species